rnacentral:rRNA from 1 species
AACGAACGCUGGCGGCAGGCUUAACACAUGCAAGUCGAACGCCCCGCAAGGGGAGUGGCAGACGGGUGAGUACCGCGUGGGAACAUACCCUUUUCUACGGAAUAGCUCUGGGAAACUGGAAUUAAUACCGUAUACGCCCUACGGGGGAAAGAUUUAUCGGGGAAGGAUUGGCUCGCGUUGGAUUAGCUAGUUGGUGGGGUAAAGGCCUACCAAGGCGACGAUCCAUAGCUGGUCUGAGAGGAUGAUCAGCCACAUUGGGACUGAGACACGGCCCAAACUCCUACGGGAGGCAGCAGUGGGGAAUAUUGGACAAUGGGCGCAAGCCUGAUCCAGCCAUGCCGCGUGAGUGAUGAAGGCCUUAGGGUUGUAAAGCUCUUUCACCGAUGAAGAUAAUGACGGUAGUCGGAGAAGAAGCCCCGGCUAACUUCGU